GUUACUGGCCGUAUCCAUAUGAAUAUUAAAAUCACCCAGGAGAAUAAGAUUGGGUGAUAAGGUACACAAAUGGGUUAAAAAUGCACAAAAUUCACUUAUAAAAGUAUUGCAAUAUUUCGGAGGCCGGUAAAUAACAGCUAAAACUGUGGGUGUUGGACCGCUGAUGAGUAGUGCAGCCGAUUCAAAAGAAACAUAGUUUUGUACAGACAGCGGGGACGUUUUAUAAAUCGAGUUGUGAAGUAUCGCGAGGCCUCCCCCGCGUCUGGAAAUACGAGGUUGCGAAAUGUAAACAAACCCAGGAGGACAUGCAUGAUUCAACUCAAGGAAGUCAUUCUCCUGCUGCCAGGUCUCAACCAAGCAGAAGAAAUCAAACUUACUAUUGUCAAUAAUGUCGCUGAUAAGAAGACCCUUGUUGGAAAGUGAACGGAUGUUGAGGAGUCCGACUUUGAGCUCAUUUCCACCGAACGAAGAGCUGGUCGAUCUGGAUACGCUAGUUAGCGCGCUCUGAUCAAUAUUCCGCCGAGUUUUCCUUGCUGCUCGAGGAGUCGAGGUCCAGAAUGAUCUUAUAUCCUUCGAGUCAUCGUACCUAAAACCCCGACGAGACCCGCGAUGGAUGUAUUUGGGACGGGGACGAUGAACAAUAUCCUGGUCGGGGUAGAGUGAAGGCGGAGGCUCAGCAGAGUAAGUUAGCACCGUAACCGGUAAAGUUCAGUCGCUGUAUACAGAAACAGCGAGGUCGUUGGAUGAAGCAAUGACAAUAAAACAAUCCAGACAAUAGUGACACGUGAGAAAAGAUGGUAAAUCCACAUCGUGUCAGUCGAUUGCAGUCUGCAGAGAUAGAGAGUGUUAUGGAAUAAAAUAUUUAAAAUAAAAACACACCGGAGAGCAGCGGCAGCCAAAUCGCGCCAGCGUUCACCCAACCGGAAAUCAAUUUUUUUUUUUUUUUUUUUUUUUUUUUUUUUUUUUUUGAUGAGUCUCACUCAUUGAAGAAUUGUGGCACAUCCUUAAUGAUGAAUGUGUUCAGCCUGAAGAGGUGUCUUUGGCCACAAUCCGGCAAAAACGGCAAUCCCUAAGCAAUAAAAGAUGGCACAUUGCAAGGGAGGCCGUGGUCAAAAAUCUUUUGGCAGCUGAACAUGUUCAGGAAUGGAUCUGUCAACACUGUUUUACUGCUGAGGCCAUUGUACGGUGCAGGGACUGUCUAUCUGGGCAGUAUCUAUGCACCAUGUGUGAUGGAGAUGUCCAUCAGCAGCUUCCUCUCCAUAACAGAGACUCUCUGGCCCAUGGGUUCUUUAAGCCCUUGUGUCCAAGCACUGCAGUGAAGAGACAUUCCCAAACAAUUGAGUUCUCUGAACAGGUCUGAUAUCUUCCACUACUUUUGCCAGACAAAAUCUGUGCCUGUUCAGAAGGUUCAUGCAGAGAGAUCAGUGGCAAGCCCAUUAUUGUAAUGAAUUUUAAUGUUUAUUAUAGGACGGUACAGUCUCACCCUUCCAUCACUGGAGAGCUCAUGCUGCAGGACAAAAUGGGCAGUGGGGCUCAGUGAUCUCCUCAAGUCUGGCUACUGGCCAGCCUCUGUACAUUUUGAGACCAUGUAUGAGGUUGGCCUUUUAGGUCUUUUCUGGACUUAAAACUUUUUGCUCCAGGUCUUUCACGUCAAGCAUUCCUUGGAAGCAUUCCUUGGAAUCCUUUACCCGAAGAACAGAGUACAAUGGCAGGAGUGGUGAAAUAUGUGGAGACACAUUCCAGAGAGCCUUUCUGGAGUGGACCUUUGCCCUGCAUGAGGUUGAGAGCCUUUGUGGUGUCCAGCCAUUCAAAUGUCCCACUUGCAGUCCGUCCAUGCCUGCCAUCUCAGUGGAUGGUAACAGGAAGCUAUACAGGUCCAUAAUGCACAUGGGACAGAGAAGGCCUACUUCGAUGGCACAUUCAUAAUGAAAAAUGAUGAUGUUUCCUCCUUUGUGGGAUAUGUUCAUGAAAAGACCAAGCAUGCCACAGGUCUCGAUGGACAGCAGCCAAGGAGUCUUCUAAAAAGUCAACAUCAAAGAUUGAUGAGGAAGGCCUUGAGAUUGCUGUGUGCUGACAUGGAGGACUUUUAAAAGGCCUAAAUAUGUUUAGAGGCUAAAUAUUUGCUUUUCUCCUGUUCCUUUAAAACACCCUCUCAAAAGAAAAUGUGUCAUUCUUCUGCUCGGAUGUCGCCUGCAAGUACUGGCCAUACUUAAAGAGAGCGGUGGACACUGUCCAGAGCUAAGGCCUUUAUUAAAUAUGCGCCCACUAUUAUCAGUUAUGCAUGCCAAAGCACAUGAAUGGAGUUGUGAGGUAAUAUUCUUUCAUUACAAUUAAAUUAGAUUAUUGAUAUUUUUGGGGUAUGGACAUGCACUUUUAUUUCAACAGCCAUUGUUAUGUCUAUUGCAUACAUUUUUUAACCUUUAUAAACCUUGAUUAUCAAAUUAAUGCAUAGUGUUUUGAUAUGCGUUUAGACAACUGAGAUGCUGAGAGUGGAAAGUGAGAGCUUUGCGAGUCUGCAGACUGAGCUUAAUGUCAGUGAUGAGGACAUUCAGCAGUGGGUCAGUGAUGUCCAGCAGUGGGCCACAGGUAACGGCAACCUCUCAACCAAAAAGAUGGUCUUUGACCAGGUCAUGUUUCUUUCCCGACUGAAGGAGGAGGAGCAGAUCCUAGUGAUGGAGGUCAAGCAACACUGACAAUCAUUGAAGGAAGCUGAAUGUUCCCUGAGGGAUCUCUCAAUUCAAAUACAAAAUAACAACAGUGACUUUGAGCUAUCAGAGGAGAGCUCCAAUGGACUCCUGUGCCUUCUAAAGAGAAAACUGGAAGACCUUCAGUUUCUUCAAAAUAAUGCUAGGAUGUUAUACAGACAAUGUGUUCUGGGACAGGCAUCAGACAACAUUCUGUUUGAUAACAUUUCCGAUGAAGAAACUGAGGCAGUAAACUACAGCUCUGAUGAAACAAACAGUGAUGAGCACUAAACCUGAGCAUGUAGAGUAGACAGAUACUGAAGAACUAUUUUUAGUUCAAGUUUUGACACUUAUUUUUGAAUCUUUGAGCGUGUUUGUGUAUUUAAGACAAUAGUGUAAUUAUUAUAAACAGCCAUACAACCUCCAUCUCUAUUAGUUAUUUUCUAUUAUUAUUUUCUUUUUCGUUCGCUCUAAUGGGACCAUGCAGAGUAAAUCUGUGUGUUGAGGUGGGGGGGUUUGCAGUGUAUACCUUCAUCAUACAUUGAUAGAAAGUAUAUAUAUAUACACACACAUACUGUACAUACAUACAUACUUUCUAUCAAUGUAAGAUAAAGGUAUACACUGCAAACCCCCCACCCCCCCAAAUAAAAUAGAUAAAGUUUUCACCUAACAAAUGUUUUUUACCUUCUGUAAGCAAAAUAAAUACUUGUACAGUGAUCA